rnacentral:rRNA from 1 species
CCUACGGGGGGCAGCAGUGAGGAAUAUUGGUCAAUGGACGAGAGUCUGAACCAGCCAAGUAGCGUGAAGGAUGACUGCCCUAUGGGUUGUAAACUUCUUUUAUAUGGGAAUAAAAUGUCCCUCGCGUGGGAUCUUGUAUGUACCAUCUGAAUAAGGACCGGCUAACUCCGUGCCAGCAGCCGCGGUAAUACGGAGGUUCCGAGCGUUAUCCGGAUUUAUUGGGUUUAAAGGGAGCGUAGGUGGAUUGUUAAGUCAGUUGUGAAAGUUUGCGGCUCAACCGUAAAAUUGCAGUUGAAACUGGCAGUCUUGAGUACAGUAGAGGUGGGCGGAAUUCGUGGUGUAGCGGUGAAAUGCUUAGAUAUCACGAAGAACUCCGAUUGCGAAGGCAGCUUACUAAGCUGCAACUGACAUUGAUGCUCGAAAGUGUGGGUAUCAAACAGGAUUAGAUACCCGGGUAGUC